UACGGGGGAGCAAGCGUUGUUCGGAUUUACUGGGCGUAAAGGGCGCGUAGGCGGUCAGCACAAGUCAGUUGUGAAAUCUCCGGGCUUAACCCGGAAGGUCAGCCGAUACUGCGGGCUAGAGUGCAGAAGGGGCAACUGGAAUUCUCGGUGUAGCGGUGAAAUGCGUAGAUAUCGGAGAGGAACACCUGCGGCGAAGGCGGGUGCUGGGCUGACACUGACGCUGAUGCGCGAAAGCUAGGGAGCGAACGGG
rnacentral:rRNA from 1 species